rnacentral:antisense_RNA from 1 species
CUUCAGCGAGCCCAGCCACAGCGGCCGCCCCUCGGGCCGCUCCUGCCCGUAGGUGGCCAGCAGCGCCUGCACCUC